CUCCGAUCUCUCUCGUGGACAAGCGGUGGCGACGGGAGCAAGGCUCCAACUCCGACGAUCUUCCUCUACCGGCAUCGGCGGCUGUUGAGCUCAGAUCCGGGCGGCGCUAUUCCUCUUCGGAUCACAGGCACGACAUUGUGUCUCCUCUAGCCGACUACCCACCUUUCUUCCCUGAUCCGACGCCACUGGGUCGAGCAUUUGUCAUCCGAUUGCCGGCGUGAAGAAAAAUUAGGGCUACCAGCGUCGGAUUUGUCCGGUACCGACAGUGUGGGUGAGGUACCAGCCCUAGUCUUCACGAUUUUCUUGUCGGAUCCUCUUCUCUGUUCAUCGCAAGAAUUUAUCGUGCCCUAGCGGUGAUUUCGAAGGUCACGGAUUUGGAGAGGUUGGUAUCAGGGAGGUGUUGUUGGAUUAGGGGAAGGAAUCGGAUCAGACUCGUGCUAGGUUUUCCCUUGAUCGGAUCAGUGGACCUCCUCCUCCUGGCUGUUGACUGAGGUUCCGGUUUGAGUGAGGUUCGAUUCUGAUCAGUGAGGUGUGCUCGGGAUUUCAGCAAGGUUGAGUGUUGUGAACUUUCUUAGGUUCCAACAGCAGCUACCCUAACCGGCAGCUACAUUUUUGGUGGUGAUCUACUGGUGAUCACCUUGGAUUUGGGACUCUGAUUCGAGACGAGCAUCUCGACAUUGAAUUAGGACUGGAUUGUACCUUCUAUUU